rnacentral:rRNA from 1 species
UACAGAGGGUGCGAGCGUUGUUCGGAAUUAUUGGGCGUAAAGGGCGCGUAGGCGGUGCGGUAAGUCACCUGUGAAAUCUCCUGGCUCAACUGGGAGCUUGCAGGCGAAACUGCCGUGCUGGAGUGUGGGAGAGGUGCGUGGAAUUCCUGGUGUAGCGGUGAAAUGCGUAGAUAUUGGGAAGAACACCGGUGGCGAAGGCGGCGACCUGGUCCUUUACUGACGCUGAGGCGCGAAAGCGUGGGGAGC